GGGCGGUUAGCUCAGAUGGUUAGAGUGCUGCGUUGACAUCGCAGAGGUCACUGGUUCAAUUCCAGUACCGCCCACCA
rnacentral:tRNA from 1 species